rnacentral:rRNA from 1 species
UACGUAGGUGGCAAGCGUUGUUCGGAAUUAUUGGGCGUAAAGGGCGCGUAGGCGGCUUGUUAAGUCGGUUGUGAAAGCCCGGGGCUCAACCCCGGAAAGUCGACCGAUACUGGCAGGCUAGAGUACGGAAGAGGUAGCUGGAAUUCCCGGUGUAGCGGUGAAAUGCGCAGAUAUCAGGAGGAACACCGGUGGCGAAGGCGGAUCUCUGGGCCUUACCUGACGCUCAGGCGCGAAAGCUAGGGGAGCAAACAGG